rnacentral:misc_RNA from 1 species
CAACCCUCAAGCCUAGCUUGGUGUUGGGCUCCGCCGCCUGGCGGGCCCUAAAGUCAGUGGCGGUGCUGUCCAGCUCCGAGCGUAGUAAAUCUUCUCGCUCUGGAGGCCUGGGCAUGUGCCUGCCAGCAACCCCCCAAUUUUAUCA